rnacentral:rRNA from 1 species
AGUGAACGCUGGCGGUAGGCCUAACACAUGCAAGUCGAACGGCAGCACAGUAAGAGCUUGCUCUUACGGGUGGCGAGUGGCGGACGGGUGAGGAAUACAUCGGAAUCUACUUUUUCGUGGGGGAUAACGUAGGGAAACUUACGCUAAUACCGCAUACGACCUACGGGUGAAAGCAGGGGAUCUUCGGACCUUGCGCGAUUGAAUGAGCCGAUGUCGGAUUAGCUAGUUGGCGGGGUAAAGGCCCACCAAGGCGACGAUCCGUAGCUGGUCUGAGAGGAUGAUCAGCCACACUGGAACUGAGACACGGUCCAGACUCCUACGGGAGGCAGCAGUGGGGAAUAUGGGGCAAUGGGCGCAAGCCUGAUCCAGCCAUACCGCGGGGGUGAAGAAGGCCUGCGGGUUGUAAAGCCCUUUUGUUGGGAAAGAAAAGCAGCAGGUUAAUACCCCGCUGUUCUGACGGUACCCAAAGAAUAAGCACCGGCUAACUUCGU